GUCAGAUUGGCCGAAAAAAAAAGUGGUUAAGGCGCUAGAUUUAAGAUCUUGUUCCCGGUAAGGGAGCGUGGGUUCGAAUCCCACAUCUGACA